rnacentral:rRNA from 1 species
AAACUUUCAACAACGGAUCUCUUGGCUCUGGCAUCGAUGAAGAACGCAGCGAAAUGCGAUACGUAAUGUGAAUUGCAGAAUUCCGCGAACCAUCGAAUCUUUGAACGCACAUUGCGCCUGCCAGCAUUCUGGCAGGCAUGCCUGUCCGAGCGUCAUUUCUCCCCUCAGCGCCCCCCGCGGCGCUGGUGUUGGGGC